ensembl:lncRNA novel transcript
UCAGAGGCAAGGAGCUCACGAGGCUGGAGUCCCAACUGGACCAAGAAGCGUGUUCCCUGCCCCUUCAGCUGGAUGGAGACAUUUGGAGGGAUGCCCUGCCCUAGCCCACCUCACUCUCACCAUGUCAACAGGACUUCUAUGGAAAUAUGCGUAUGAUGAGAAGCAGAUC